rnacentral:rRNA from 1 species
UACAGAGGUCUCAAGCGUUGUUCGGAUUCAUUGGGCGUAAAGAGCGUGUAGGCGGCCUGAUAAGUCGGCUGUGAAAGUCAAGGGCUCAACCCUUGAAUGCCGGCCGAUACUGUCAGGCUAGAGUCCGGAAGAGGCGAGUGGAAUUCCUGGUGUAGCGGUGAAAUGCGCAGAUAUCAGGAGGAACACCUAUGGCGAAGGCAGCUCGCUGGGACGGUACUGACGCUGAGACGCGAAAGCGUGGGGAGCGAACAGG